GAAGCGCUUCCGCAGCCUCCAGCGCGUCUCAAUCUACUGCGGGGGCUGCGGGGGCUAGCAGUAACCACUGAAGUCCGCACCCACCCUUCUCAACUUUACUGGGGCAGCGGCCAGGAGAUACCUGGCAACACGCAGGAAACCCCUGACAACACACAGGAGACCCCUAGCAACGCGCAUGAAACCCCUGGCAACGCACAGGAGACCCCUAGCAACAUGCAUGAAACCCCUGGCAACGCACAGGAGAACCCUAGCAACAUGCAUGAAACCCCUGGCAACGCACAGGAGACCCCUAGCAAUGCGCAUGAAACCCCUGGCAACGCAUAGGAGACCCCAGGCAAUUUACCAGCCUGUCAAAUGAAGAACAACAUAACAGUAAUGCGAGCACCUGAACAGAGAAACACAUCAAUGUCUCUGUUGGACGCUAUUUAGUGAACGCUUGAAUUCCCCUCCCCCCACAGAGGUGAACAUCAAAAACAUACAAAUGAGAAACAACAAGUUAUACAUGAGAACAUUGAGAGAUGUAAUACCGUAAUAGUAAAAGUAAUUGCGAUUGUAAUAGUGCUCCACGUAGACCCCGAGCGAUAUCAAAACUAUACACUAGAGGAGGCAAACAAGUAUCGUAUCAACAAAAGAGAACAGCAACAAUUGGACCAGUUGAACAUUGAGGAGCAGUAUGAUCAGAAGGGGGCUGCGGAAUCAAGAGUCUCCAAAAGAUACCAUUUAGUAUCCUUAAAACAUUUUCGUAGAGUCUCUUUUAUGAUCGGGGGAAGAGUCAGAACAUAGGGUAACCAAAUAUGAAAAUAUUGUGCCGUCAGUUUUUCCUUCUGUAAAGUGGUGUUAG